rnacentral:rRNA from 1 species
AUUGAACGCUGGCGGCAGGCCUAACACAUGCAAGUCGAGCGAGCGGCGGACGGGUGCGUAAUGCCUGGGAAUUGCCCAGUCGAGGAGGAUAACAGUUGGAAAAGACUGCUAAUACCGAAUACGAUUGGAUUGUCCAGGUGGGAUUAGCUAGUUGGUGAGGUAAUGGCUCACCAAGGCGACGGUCCCUAGCUGGUCUGAGAGGAUGGUCAGUCACACUGGAACUGAGACACGGUCCAGACUCCUACGGGAGUCAGCAGUGGGGAAUAUUGCACAAGGGGGGAAAUCCGGAUGCAGCCAGGCCGCGUGUGUGAAGAAGGCCUUCGGUUUUUAAAGCACUUUCAGCGAGGAGGCGUUACUCGCAGAAGAAGCACCGGCGAACUCCGUGCCAGCCGCCGCGGUAAUAC